rnacentral:tRNA from 2 species
GGAGGCGUCGCAUAGCGGUCUAGUGCACCACCUUGGAAAGGUGGCAACGGGGUAACCCGUUCGAGAGUUCGAAUCUCUCCGCCUCCGCCA